UGAAGUGGAGUAGCUCCAGGUUGGUCUGAAGCCUGAUCCAAAUCUUUCCUUCCAGUGCAAUAAUGAAUUUAAUGGACUGAUUAAUAAUAUUUUCUUUUUUGGAAGUAAGUCCCAGUGAUUAUAAAUGAAUCUCUCAAGAUGCACAAUCCCACUUUUCAGAUCAAUGAAUACCAUCUUGCACGAUCAAAUGCAGCAUUCAAGUCAUCUCUACAUUUUGAUGGAUAUGGCUGUAGAUUCAUUUGUUGCAACAACAACAACAACAACAACAACAACAACAACAACAACAACAACAAGCUGAUCAACCUGCUUGGUGCCUGGGCCUGAGACAAGAGCCGGGGUUUAAGACUGUGAGUUUUGAGAUUUUAGUUGGCUUCACUAGUUAAAAACUGGUGUAACCACAGUAUUGGAGCCUUGGUGGCGCAGCAGACUAAAGUGCUGUUAAGUAACACCAGCUGCCUGCAAUUACUGCAAGUUCAAAUCUCACCAGGCUCAAGGUUGACUCAGCCUUCCAUCCUUCCGAGACAUUUUAAUCGCAAGUGCACACAGUAUUUGUGAACUGCCGAGAGUCCCUAACUGGAUUGCAGCAGGAUAUAAAUAUAAUAAAUAAUCUUUUUUUCUGAAGUCUCAACAUCUUUUUUACAUCGUGACAACAAAACCUUCAUUGUGGAUUCACAGCCUCCCUGCCAUAGUAUUCAUGAAGCCAAACACUUCCAAACAGAAUUGGAGAAGGUUUCCAAAAGGCUUUUGGCCAACAUAAAAGCCUAUAGCUGCUUCCUUGCAGGUUACUACAGGACUUUUAUAUCACAGUAGAGGUGCGCUAUCCCCAAAUAAACUUUAACAAGAAAAAAGGAUGAUGCACAUGGUAACCCUGAUGUUGUCCCUUCAGUAAUCUCACCCCUGCUUCCAGCUCUUGUAUCACUUUAGUGGGAGUCUCUAAGCAGCCAUUCAUGGGCCUUUUGCAAUACUAGGCUUUUUCUCUAUAUAUAAAAUCUUAGUAUGAGGAACUAAUGGCCGUGUUAAUGUUUUACAGGAGCAAAUACAAAAUCUUGAUAAAACAUUUUAGGAAGAA